UCGCCAGGGCGAGGCGCGAGGGGGCAGGACCGCACGGAAGGACCCAUUCGGCCCUCGGCCGCUCAGAGGCUGGCGCGGGGCUCGCCACGGCUAGACACACCCACCUCGGCCGGCCCGGCGGGCAUUGGCACCCCUCAGGGUGUGCACGCGGGUCGGGGGUGCCCGUCGCAGCCCUGGGCCCCCGCAUCUGCGCUUGGUCCGCCCGCGAACUUGAUCCGUCCGGGUGCAGAGCGCUAGCGCAACUGCCCUCCCCCCCUUCCUCCCUCCCCAGGUCCUGCUGGAUCUGAAAAGUUUAGGACGGGGUGUGUGGGGUUCUAGUAGGCGUGUCCCUCUCUUUGGGCUUCUGGGGGCUCCUCUGAGCCCCCAGGAAUCAAUGGGAAACUUGCUCGAGGAGGACGGGUAGGACUGCGGGCCAGCAGGGCCUGACGUGGCAGCCAGGCCACCCGCGAAGGUGGGGCCGGCUGGAGGAAGAGGGCAUCCUGCUGUUCAUCCUGUUCUUUUUAAGGACUGGAGCAGGGGAUGGGUUAUGGGAGGCAGAAUGGUGUCAGGUCAGGCCUGUGCCCACAGUGAAGUGGGCUGCACUCAAAUCUUAGGGUCCAGGAUCUCACCCAUCAUCAAGAGAUGUGAGUCUUUUAAGUGAGUCGCUUGGCAGUUUCAUGCUACCUCGAGAAGCAAGCUGGUUUUUUCAUUCUUGAGUGUGGCCAUCUAAUAACUGGUUCCCUUAAGCUGCAAGCGCUGGGUACCACUGAGGUCUCCUCUGUGUUCUCAUCUACUUAACUGGCUCCACGUCACCAAGACAGCAGAAGAUAGGAGUCCUAGAGGGCCUGGGUGACAGAGACACCACCUAUCUGGUUUAUGAAUAAACACCUCCUCAUCUAAGUUAACACCA